rnacentral:lncRNA from 1 species
GGAAUAUGAGACAUUGCCUGUAGAUUUAUAAGGGUUUGGGCUACUCCAUCCAUUGCUAAUUGAUUUUGGAUAUGAAUCCUAGACAACUUUAUCAGUUAUCACAUACAUAUGAUUAUGAAUUAUUAAGAUUGCAUCGUGCACUUGCACAGUCGUGUAUAUAUCUAGAAUUUUGCUAUAUAAUUUGACACUCUGGCGACCUGUUGGCUUCUAGCGGCGGUGGUGGCUUCACUGGAUAGCUAGCACGGUGGUGAAUGUCCUACAUUUUUAAGGUUGCACUUGUCCAUUUAGAUCUAUUAAGAUAGAGUUGUAUUUCUGUUGUCCGUUUAUCCGAUCCGGAAUUUCAUAAUGUAACACAUCUCCACACGGAUGUAAGUGUUGAGAGUCUGAAACCCGACACAGACUCAAUGCAUGAAGAGGAAAAUCGCCCCGCUAGCUGCUGCCAUCAAUCAAAGCCAAAACCGUUCAAUAUAUAUACCACUAUAAAACACGCCAUCCAUAUGCGAACAUCAAAACGUACUCGAUCGUAUAUGGGGGGAGUCUGAACACUGAUGGGAACUUGAAAACCCCACGGAUAGGUGGAAAAUCCGAAACCUGAUAGCAACUCGAUGCAUGUUCGUUCAGGUUCGUCGUCAAAACUGAAAAACGGUGAACGUACGUACUCAACUUCUGAUAAAGUUGAGCCUGCAUUACACAAAAUUAUCGCUCAACUUCUACAAUAAUGCCACUGCAUAUUAUUUAGCAGCUGGGUAAGUUUUUUUCUUUCUUAUAUAUACAGGUAGGUAGGAUUGGAUCUGGAGUAGAAAACAUGAGAAUCAAUCGAGCUGUAUAAUUUUGGAACGAUCUGCAGGUGGGGUUAAGAACUGCCAUCUCCGUGGUGGUCCUUUGGGUCCAUCGCUUAUCAGAGUUGAUUCGAAGGGUCGCUUUUCAAAUUCCAGAAAUUUGAUAAAUAUAGAAGCGACCCGACUUAUCACACAUCCUCUCUUGCCUGAUAGCUGAUAAGAGGAAGAGCAAAAGCAUCAC